CUCUUUAACCCUAGCGCCGCUGAGAGAGAUUCUCUCUCCCCUACAUCACGCUCCUUAUUUUAGCAUGUUUACAGAGUGGUUUUGUGAUUUCUUCAUGUCUGUGUGGCCAUUUGAAAAUCAUGAACUUGGAAGGAGGCGUUUAGUCAGCAAAGUUAGAGAGACGUAAAGGUCGACAAGGAGACAGUGCAGAUGCUUAGGAGCUUGUACAACUAGUUUGCAGGAGCACUCCACUACUCCGGAGUUGCCAUUCCUUGGUAUAUUCUCUUGUGUACAUAUUGGGGCAUGGCGGGGUCCUGUCCCGCCCUCAUGAUUUCAGUACUUCAGUUAGAGGCUCGUAGAUACUUAUGUGUGGGUUGUAGAUGCUAUGUGACCCCUUCAUUGUAGAUUUUGUACCUCAUUUUUGUAGCCUUAUGGGCCUAUGCUUAUACGUGUUUUGACAGA